GAACAAACAAGAUGAGAGAAGAUUUUAUCCCAGGGUGGAUAGCUUCUGGAGACCACCCAGACCUAAAGAUGAGUGAGCAGAGGCUGCUUUUUUUUGCCUGCCUGCCUUUGAUUUUUGCUGGCACUAGAGACCAGACCUUCUCCAGGAAGCCUCCAGGAAUCCGUCAGUGACAGGCUAGGACUGCUGAGACCUCCAGUUUCGUGGGCUGAGCAGCUACUGGGUUGUCAGUCCUUUCUGUGUACAGACAGCCAUUGUUGUAUCUGUAUCUAAUAAAUGCCCCUUGCGAUUUAGAUGUA